GCCUCCACUUCCGGAAACAAAACGGGCAACGAGGGAGCUGCCUGAAUCGGCGACAGAGUAGACCGUAUGAUGCAGGAGGACGGAGGAGCCCAGCGGGGGAAGGAAGCGCUGCCUGAGAGGAGGAGGUCCUGACGCGGCUUCCCCUGGAGACGGUGGGGAAAGGUCGGGAGGCUCCGGAGCUGCAGGAGGGAUGAGCCCAUGGGGACCGCGGGAAAGGCGGCUGCCUGGAGGGCAAUGCGGGGAGGAGGAAACGGGAGGAGUCCACGAGACAGGCCAGGAGGGCGGAAGGUCCUUCCGAAGACCCGGGAAUCCCCAAAGGAUCCAGAAGGGAGGAAAAGAAUAUCAGUGCUCGGAAUGUGAAAAAUCCUUCAAGAAAAAGGACCCUUUUCAGAGCCAUUUAAGGGUCCAUUCACGAGAGGAACCAUUUAAGUGCCAGGAGUGUGGAAAGAACUUCAGUCGGAGGGGCAACCUUUAUAGACAUCAAAGCAUCCAUUUGAGAGAGAGAUUGAAGAAAUGCCUGGAGGGCGGAGGGUCCUUUGGGAGACCAGGAAGGCCCCGAAGGAUCCAGGAGGGAGGUAUGAAAUACAAAUGUCCAGAAUGUAAAAACUUAUUCGGGAGAAAUGACCAUCUUCAAGGCCAUCUAAGGGUUCAUUCAGGAGAGAAACCUCAUAAAUGCCUGGAUUGUGAAAAGAGC